CAGUAGCCGCGGGAAUACGUAGGUGGCAAGCGUUGUCCGGGAUUAUUGGGCGUAAAGGGCUCGCAGGCGGUUUCUUAAGUCUGAUGUGAAAGCCCCCGGCUCAACCGGGGAGGGUCAUUGGAAACUGGGAAACUUGAGUGCAGAAGAGGAGAGUGGAAUUCCACGUGUAGCGGUGAAAUGCGUAGAGAUGUGGAGGAACACCAGUGGCGAAGGCGACUCUCUGGUCUGUAACUGACGCUGAGGAGCGAAAGCGUGGGGAGCGAACAGGAUUAGAUACCCCCGUAGUCCCUGUCUCUUAUAC
rnacentral:rRNA from 1 species